rnacentral:rRNA from 1 species
CCUACGGGGGGCAGCAGUAGGGAAUCUUCGGCAAUGGACGAAAGUCUGACCGAGCAACGCCGCGUGAGUGAAGAAGGUUUUCGGAUCGUAAAACUCUGUUGUUAGAGAAGAACAAGGAUGAGAGUAACUGUUCAUCCCUUGACGGUAUCUAACCAGAAAGCCACGGCUAACUACGUGCCAGCAGCCGCGGUAAUACGUAGGUGGCAAGCGUUGUCCGGAUUUAUUGGGCGUAAAGCGAGCGCAGGCGGUUUCUUAAGUCUGAUGUGAAAGCCCCCGGCUCAACCGGGGAGGGUCAUUGGAAACUGGGAGACUUGAGUGCAGAAGAGGAGAGUGGAAUUCCAUGUGUAGCGGUGAAAUGCGUAGAUAUAUGGAGGAACACCAGUGGCGAAGGCGGCUCUCUGGUCUGUAACUGACGCUGAGGCUCGAAAGCGUGGGGAGCAAACAGGAUUAGAUACCCUUGUAGUC